rnacentral:rRNA from 1 species
GAUGAACGCUAGCGGCAGGCUUAACACAUGCAAGUCGAGGGGUAACGAUAUCUUCGGAUAGGCGACGACCGGCGCACGGGUGAGUAACGCGUAUGUAAUCUACCUUUAACAGGAGGAUAGCCCCGAGAAAUCGGGAUUAAUACUCCAUAGUAAUCUAAAGUGGCAUCACUUAAGGUUUAAAGCUCCGGCGGUUAAAGAUGGGCAUGCGUGACAUUAGUUUGUUGGUGAGGUAACGGCUCACCAAGACUACGAUGUCUAGGGGUUCUGAGAGGAUGAUCCCCCACACUGGUACUGAGACACGGACCAGACUCCUACGGGAGGCAGCAGUGAGGAAUAUUGGUCAAUGGGGGCAACCCUGAACCAGCCAUGCCGCGUGCAGGAAGACGGCCCUAUGGGUUGUAAACUGCUUUUGUACGGGAAUAAUGGUUUCUACGUGUAGAGAUUUGAAGGUACCGUACGAAUAAGCAUCGGCUAACUCCGUGCCAGCAGCCGCGGUAAUACGGAGGAUGCAGGCGUUAUCCGGAUUUAUUAGGUUUAAAGGGUGCGCAGGCGGUCUUUUAAGUCAGUGGUGAAAGUUUGCAGCUCAACUGUAAAAUUGCCAUUGAUACUGGAAGACUUGAAUAUAGUAGAGGUAGGCGGAAUGUGUAGUGUAGCGGUGAAAUGCUUAGAUAUUACACAGAACACCAAUUGCGAAGGCAGCUCACUAAACUAUUACUGACGCUGAUGGACGAAAGCGUGGGGAGCAAACAGGAUUAGAUACCCUGGUAGUCCACGCCGUAAACGAUGAUUACUCGGUGCUAGCGAUAUACUGUUAGUGCCUAAGCGAAAGUGAUAAGUAAUCCACCUGGGGAGUACGAUCGCAAGAUUGAAACUCAAAGGAAUUGACGGGGGCCCGCACAAGCGGUGGAGCAUGUGGUUUAAUUCGAUGAUACGCGAGGAACCUUACCUAGGCUUAAAUGUAGAUUGACAGAUUGUGAAAGCAGUUUUUCUUCGGACAAUCUUCAAGGUGCUGCAUGGCUGUCGUCAGCUCGUGCUGUGAGGUGUCGGGUUAAGUCCCAUAACGAGCGCAACCCCUAUCUUUAGUUGCCAGCGAGUAAUGUCGGGGACUUUAAAGAGACUGCCCGUGUAAACGGUGAGGAAGGUGGGGAUGACGUCAAAUCAUCACGGCCCUUACGUCCUGGGCUACACACGUGCUACAAUGGCCGGUACAGAGGGCAGCUACCCCGCGAGGGGAUGCGAAUCUCAAAAGCCGGUCUCAGUUCGGAUUGGAGUCUGCAACUCGACUCCAUGAAGCUGGAAUCGCUAGUAAUCGCGCAUCAGCCAUGGCGCGGUGAAUACGUUCCCGGGCCUUGUACACACCGCCCGUCAAGCCAUGGAAGCUGGGGGUGCCUGAAGUCAGUGACGGCAAGGAGCUGCCUAGGGUAAAACUGGUAACUGGGGCU